rnacentral:RNase_P_RNA from 1 species
GCAGUCGGUUAUUCUGUCGCUCUUUUGUGAAUCGAAAGAGAGGAAAGUCCGGACAACACAGAGCAUCGCACUGCCGAAAGGGCAGGUAUCCGUGAGGGUACGGUAAACGAAGAAGAAAAUAACCGCCUCGAACAAGUUUCGGGGUAAGGGUGAGAAGGUGAGGUAAGAGCUCACCGGUGUCUGUCGCGAGGCAGGCAGCCGUUCGCCCUGCGAGUUGCAAUCUCAUGUAUAUCGGCGUUUGAGGGCUGCUCGUCCGAUGCCGAGGGGUAGAGAGCUCAGAUAAAUGACAGAUUAAAACAGAAUCCGGCUUACGAACCGACUGCUUUU